rnacentral:rRNA from 1 species
CCUACGGGCGGCAGCAGUGGGGAAUAUUGCACAAUGGGCGCAAGCCUGAUGCAGCCAUGCCGCGUGUGUGAAGAAGGCCUUCGGGUUGUAAAGCACUUUCAGCGGGGAGGAAGGCGUUAAGGUUAAUAACCUUGGCGAUUGACGUUACCCGCAGAAGAAGCACCGGCUAACUCCGUGCCAGCAGCCGCGGUAAUACGGAGGGUGCAAGCGUUAAUCGGAAUUACUGGGCGUAAAGCGCACGCAGGCGGUCUGUCAAGUCGGAUGUGAAAUCCCCGGGCUCAACCUGGGAACUGCAUUCGAGACUGGCAGGCUAGAGUCUUGUAGAGGGGGGUAGAAUUCCAGGUGUAGCGGUGAAAUGCGUAGAGAUCUGGAGGAAUACCGGUGGCGAAGGCGGCCCCCUGGACAAAGACUGACGCUCAGGUGCGAAAGCGUGGGGAGCAAACAGGAUUAGAUACCCUUGUAGUC